AGGAUUUCUUAAUGGGGUGAAAAUGGCAGUCCCCGAAGCCAGGGUUGCCGGACCCCCAGGGCCGAGCUUGGGCGCGGGAGCCUCGCAGGGGCGGAGAGGCCGGCCGAGCUUGAAGAAGUGGAGGAGAGAUCAGCACAAGUUAAGUGGGGCGUCCCCAUCCCGUCUUCCUGCUCACCCUCCUUUGCCCCCAACUCCAUCUCUGCGACACCCUGCCCCCCAAAAGAAGUCACUCCAGGGCUCUGUCUGCAGAGAGCCAGGGUGAGAGCAGGCAAGGCAAGAGAGAGCGACCUCGGUCGUGGGCAAGUAGCUUGUUUUUACGUCCUUCAAUAAAAUUUUUAUGAGGAUCAUUUGAUUGUUCAUAAAUGUGUCUUUCAUUAAAUAAAAUUGUAGGCUGUUUUUGGAACGGGAAAAAAGCAACGGAGGAAUGGGAGAAAGCAAUUUCUUUGGGGUCGGACGCAGGAAUUCCGGAGGGGGCAGUGUGAUUGUAGGGAAGAUCAGACAACUUGGAUUCCUCCCCCCAAUAAGUUGGUUGCUACCCUCCUCCUUGAAUUUGGGGUUUGUUGCCCAGCCCUUUGCUUUCCAUCAGACUGCCCCAUGGUGGUUUUGUAAAGGUGGGCUUUUGGCAAGCAGGACAUUCUCAGUGUGGGUGCAAGAGAGGGGGCAGGGAGGUUGGCUGGGGAGUAGGAAGAAAGGCAGGUGAUGUCCCCCAGAGACAUGAUGCACCCUAGGCUCGGCAGAGUGAGUUUGAAGGAGGGGUGCAAUUUCAGGGUCAGAAGAGAGGAGUCCCAGUUUGUGCUAUGGAAAAUAGGCAGGAGCUAAGGCUGAGACACAGGUUCUGAGGCAGCAGGGAAGGACAAGGAUUCCCAGACAUGAGACGCCUGCCCUUCUUUCCCACUCCUGUCCCCAGGAGGGGACCAAACGCUGGGGGUGGGGGUGAAGGAUGGUUUUCUCCUGCAUCUCUGUCGACCUGUCUCCUCUGGGGUGGAGAAGGGCUAGGGAGAGAUGUCCAAGAGUGUGUAGCUUGUGUGUUCUGGGGGGGGGGGAAAGUUGAGGGGGGAGGGUAGAUCUGCAGCCUGCAGCACUGACCCCAGCUUUCCCGGGUCCCCUCCCCAGUCCCUGUCCCUCCCCCUCUCCAGUUCUUUCCUUUUCGGUCUAGCGGGGCUGGGAUUUCGACGCACGGGGUGUGUGUGUGAAGUGCCUGGCUGGGGAGAGACAACUCGGGGCCUCAGCCUCCUCGCCCUCAGCUCUGAUUGUCUUCCCCUCCCCCGGACUGGACUGGUGUGGGAAAUCCAAAUUACAGCAAGAAACAGAAUAUCUCUUUGGCCUUGAUGGAGUUGGGUUAGCUGUCAAUCAAAAAUUCUCCCUCACUAGUUCAAGGAAAAGACAGGAGAUUCCCUCCGGUCCCCCUGCCGAGGCUUUCUCCAAAUCCCCAGCACCGUCAGCACCUCCCCCAGCCCUGGCGGCUGGGGACCCUGCCCGGCUCUUGGGCGGCUGCUGGCAGCACUGAGCAGAGACGUGUAGCCUUCAGCGGGCCCGGGGCCAGACAGAGACCUAGAGGACAUCAGGGGACAGAGCCUGAGAGAGACUGAGCCUGAGACAUAACAACUGAAACACGGCGCCAGGCCCAUGGAGAGGGAGGAAGGAGGGAAAGAGAGAAGAAAACGGAGGACUGAGAUAAAAAGAAGAGGAGAGGGGAGAAUUAAAGGAAAGGGGGGGCAAGAUGAAAAGAGAUGGGAGAGCAGGGAGAGGAAGGCGAGCAGAGAGCGAGAGGGAGGAAGGGCGGCGAUAGGCAGGCAGGACGGGGCAGGGCGCGAGCUGGGAGCAGCCGUGGCAUUGUGCAGUCCGCUUGCUUGCCGAGCCUUUGCCGCGGGACCGGCUCCGGGCGCGGCGGCCACUUCUGUCCGGACACAAAGGAGGAAGAGGCCUCCUCUCCUGCCCCUCCCAGGCGACCUGCUGGGGUGGGUACACUAGGCCUCCGGGGGGUGUAGAACCCCAUCUCAGCCCAGGCAGCCACCCAGGCGUCUGGGGGCUGAGCCACACUGCAGUCAAGGAGCAAACAAGACGCGAUGAAGGAGAAGGUCUCACGCCCCACUCCUCCUUUUGCGUCUUCGCCAGCCGACAGGGCCCAUCUGCCCCAACCUCAGUUUUCCUAGAAGAAAGGCGCCCCUAAAGACCCUUCCCUAUGGGCCUCUACUAUUUGGGAGAGCUCCUCAGACAUAGUGUCUGUAAACAGAUGCCCCGUUCUGUCCUGGCCACCACUUCUUUUCAACUCUCCAGCUGCCUGCGUACCCUGCUUGCCCACCCCGCAGGGGCAGCGGAAGCGGGGCAACUCGGAUCACCCGGCCCAGGCUCCCCGCUACCGUCAAAUUCCCCAUGAAACGGAGCAGAGAUUGUCGCCUUCGUUUAAGAGCGUGAACUCAGACCCUCCCCACUCAGGCACAGACACAGCUGUGGAUCAGGGAGCAGGCCUCGCCCACACCCCCUCCCCACCAAUGCCCCGGCUUGCCUAGGCCUUGCGGAGAGCAGCAGCCGCGAGGAGGGGGGCUGGAAGAGGCUGGGAGUCCCUGAAUUCACCAGGCCGAGGUCCCUCGGGUUCCACAACUGCAUGUGGGCUGUACCCCUAGUCUCUGCAUUUGGAGGUGGGGUGGCAGGUCAGGGCUCUGAAGCAGAACUUCAGGCUCCCCCCAAAUCCCGGCCUGUGGACAUGGGGGCUCAAAGGAUGUGGGGGCACCAAUAAAGAGGGGCUUGUCUUUCCAGGUUCACCUAUUCCUGCUGCAUCUCCUGCCAGAUUCCCAGACUCCCUCUCACCCCCCCCCACCACUCCCUUCCAUUUUCCUCAGCACCGAUGGGGCAAACCCGAGGGACUGGAGGACACUGGGAGUCCCUGUUGGAGAGGGGGGGAAACCCCAGCUUCAGCCAGCAGCUCUGCAUUCAGUCUGGUUCUUACAGCUCGCCUCCGACCCCGAAAGAAUUCACUGGGCACAGGCGAGCCCCCUAAGGGGGAGGGGCACCCUUACUCCAUCACCUCAGACCUGCACAGCUGCGACCACAACCAAGCUAGCACCACCGUGGGAAGGACAGACAGACAGAAAGACAGACAGCUAAGGCCUGCGCUGGAAGCAGAAUCUGAAUUCUCCUGGCCCGCCGCGAGGAGACCGCGUCCUGCCCCCACCCCAGGUGGGUAUCCGGGAUCCCCACACGCCAGGAGUCAGGCCCCUAAGCCCAGCAGCAGUGAAACCCCUAGGGCCUGUGAACGUGGCCCUCUCAACGCCACGGCCUGCCUUCCCGCCGGCCCCCAGCCCUGCCGCCCCGCAGCAAACGGGGCUCUUUCCGGCUCCCCCAACCCGGUCUGGUUUCCCAGGCUGGGGAGUGGCUGGGGGAGGAGCGGCCCCAGAACCGGGGGUGCCCUCUGCCUGAAGCCCCCUGGCUCUGGCCGCCUUGUUACCUGAUCUUUGUGUGAUGUGUGUGUCGCAAGGAAAUUUGCAGUGACUUUGGAGCCCAGACUGAGGAAGCCGAGGUGGCGAAAGGAGAGACAAUACGGGUCCGAGGUACAAUUAAGGGGCCAGAGCCGCUAUCUCUCCCCCGCCCUCCCUGCCAGACUAGGAGCUGUCUGGCCUCAAACCUCAGGGCAACCCGCGAACCUGGAGCCGGAAACUCAGCCCGUGGCGGAGGGAACCAGAGGAUCCGGCAUCCAGAAAGCUGGAGGGAAGCUCCCUUCCAACUUGGGGGCUCAGCAGCCAGCCCCGCUGAGUUGCAGAGAAUCCAAUGAAUGGAAGUACACAUUCCGACGAAAUUUCCCGAUUUUUUCAGCCUUUGGAAGGAGAGCCUAGGGUUCGGGACGUCUCAGACAGACACAGACAGACAGGCAAACCGCACCUCCGGAGGCGGACAGACUCACAACAUGAGUGUGAGCCUAAAAUCAAAUACAGGUUCAACAUUCCCGAGGCCUUUCUGCCAGGCCGGGCGGGCGCCGA